rnacentral:rRNA from 1 species
CCUACGGGUGGCAGCAGUGAGGAAUAUUGGUCAAUGGACGGGAGCCUGAACCAGCCAAGUAGCGUGAAGGAUGACUGCCCUUAGGGUUGUAAACUUCUUUUAUAAAGGAAUAAAACGAGACACGUGUGCCUUUUUGCGUGUACUUUAUGAAUAAGCAUCGGCUAACUCCGUGCCAGCAGCCGCGGUAAUACGGAGGAUGCGAGCGUUAUCCGGAUUUAUUGGGUUUAAAGGGAGCGUAGAUGGGUUGUUAAGUCAGUUGUAAAAGUUUGCGGCUCAACCGUAAGAUUGCAAUUGAUACUGGUAGUCUUGAGUUGAGGUGAGGUAGGCGGAAUUCGUGGUGUAGCGGUGAAAUGCUUAGAUAUCACGAAGAACUCCGAUUGCGAAGGCAGCUUACCA